GAGCCAACAUCCGAGAGAUAUAUGCAAGGUCAGACAGAUAGCUAACCUGCCUUUCAGAAAGUUCCUCCUCCUGGCUGUUUCAUUAGUUUGUGAGCUAAGUCACUAACUGGAAGAGCCUCCAGCCUUGUGAGGAAGUCUGGGAUGGAGAAGGUCACUGCAGGUGCUCUGAGCAGCUCUUGCCAGUGCAUGGGGCAGCUUGCCAACACCAUCAAGCUUGAACCUCCUCCCCAGCCCAGCAGCACCUUCUGGCUGUGAGCCCUGCCCAGGCACCUGUGGGGUGGGGAUGGGAGCUGAGGGGUGUCUCUCAGAGCACACCUGCACAGAGCUGCCAGCAGUGGCAGCCUGGAGGAAAAUGUCACUCAGAGUGUUGGAGAAGUGCCCUUGCCUCAUGGAGGAGCUUUCAUCUGGAGGGCUUCACAGAGCAUGAGGUGCCAGGCCUGCAUCCCAGCUGCUGCCAGUGUUCACCUUCCCUCCCUGUGUUCCUAGUGCAGCCUUCUGGAGCAUUAUGGCACUAUUUCUAAGGAUUGAUUCAGUCAGGAAUUGCCCUGGUCUCCUCAGUCCCCUCCCUUGGCUGCACUCUCAACCUGUAACUUCUGUCCUCAGCCCUCCAGAUUCUUCCCCUGGCUCUCUUUUACUGCCCUCACCCAUGGAAGAAGAAAAAAUUUAUUCCUUAAAUGUAAUCGGAGAAAAUUCUCCUAAUAAGUCAAGGUAAAUACAUUAUUUCCCACAUAAACAUUUUGUCCUGUGCUUCACUUUACAUUUUACACUAGACCACGGUAUUUCUAAGACUGCAGCCUCCCACAGAGGAGAAGAUGUAGCCAUUGGGCACAAAUGGUGGCAAAAAGCAGAGAUGUGGUGACCUCCAGAGGACUUCAGCUUUCUGCAUAGCAUGGAGCCUAAUAAGGCUGGAGCUAAUAAGUUAUGUCAUCCCAAAAUAUUAUGUGCUAAGACAUCACCAAAGUCUCUGCCUCUGUGAUAUGCCUUGACUGCAAACCAGACAAUCUGUCUGUGGACAUCAAAGUUUUUAAUUCUUUCUCUCAGCAGCAUCUAGGACAUUUUUGAUGCUAUUGUAAUACAAGGCUUGUGUUAGAUCUCACACUAUGUUAUCAUAACUUGUUAGACUCAGGCUGUUUUCUGUAUUUCACCAGUUUAGGUGAAGGAAAUCUAGUUUGUUAAGAAUCUGAUGCUCUUAUUUCUGUAUAUUUAUUCCAACUAUCAGUUCUAGGACAAAAUGCUGUAAUUCCUAUGAUUUUAUCUGUGGAGCAAAAGGCACGGAUUUCAUAGAAGUAUCCGGGGAGUGAUUGUUAUCCUACUUAAGAAAGGAAGAGUACACUUUAGUGAGAAGGAAUGUCUUAAUUAGCUCUCAGCUCUAGUUUAUUUAAGAACAUGAUGGGGGUUUUAUGGUCUGUUUUUAUGGUCAUAGCUUUCCUGAGGCAAUAUUUAAGUGCUAUGAAUAGCAGAGGUAAUUACAGAGGUAAUUCAUACACCAUUCAAAAACAGCUAAUGAUUAUUCUGUGAAAUAAAGAAUUCUUCAUUUUAUAAUGCAAUGAAAAUUGUUAAAUGUCAUACAGAAUUCAUAUUAGUAAACUUUCCUUGGUAAUAAAAUUGCAAGGUUUACCACC